CCAGAAAGCUUGAGCGCCAACACAAUUCUUAUUGGUAACAGCGUAAGAAAGCAUGUAGAGAAUAACGAUUUCUUUUAGGUUACAAGAAAAUUAAUGCACGAACGUCGCACUUGAAGUAAAAGCAGAUUGGCGAUGAAAAGGUAAACCAGCGCAGGCCCGCCGUUUGACAAUUUAUUGCCACAGUAUUUUAACACGAAAAGCGGCACAUACACAUUACAAGCACGACAUCUUUGUGAAAGAAGUGCUCGUUUGUGGAGAAAAGAAAGCACAUGGUGCAAGCUAUUCGGCGA